rnacentral:piRNA from 1 species
UGGUACCAAAAGCAUUUGGUUAGCUGAGC